UGCCUUUAGUGUUGCCCGUUCAUUUUGGUUGCUAAUGAAUGCGGUGUCAGAGAAGGCAUAAAGCAAGUUCCACUCUUGCAGCCUUUUGCAACGCUAGGAAUUACUCCUCUGGGGUUUGCUGCAUGUGGAACAAUA